UCCUCAUUAGUAUAGUGGUGAGUAUCCCCGCCUGUCACGCGGGAGACCAGGGUUCGAUUCCCCGACGGGGAG
rnacentral:tRNA from 1 species